CAAUAGCGUAUAUUAAAGUUGUUGCAGUUAAAAAGCUCGUAGUUGGAUUUGUGGCGUACGGUGGGUUCCGGGCACUUGUUGUCUGAGUAACUUGCUGUUGCCAUCCUUGGGUGGAACCUGUGUGGCAUUAGGUUGUCGUGCAGGGGAUGCCCAUCAUUUACUGUGAAAAAAUUAGAGUGUUCAAAGCAGGCUUAUGCCGUUGAAUAUAUUAGCGUGGAAUAAUGAGAUAGGACUUUUUUGCUAUUUUGUUGGUUUGCGCAAAGAGGUAAUGAUUAAUAGGGACAGUUGGGGGUAUUCGUAUUCCAUUGUCAGAGGUGAAAUUCUUGGAUUUUUGGAAGACGAACUACUGCGAAAGCAUUUACCAAGGAUGUUUUCAUUAA
rnacentral:rRNA from 1 species